CCGACAUAAUCAGAUAUUAGGGCUGUGAUGAUGUGAGAGGAAGGACUAAUUGUCAUUAUCCCAUCUGAUAAAUGCACUCUCAUUUUUAUCUAGUGCAUUUGUUUGUUUCUUAACACUUGAACCAAUAAAGUCUCUUUUUACUGGACAAGGUUAGCUUCCAUCCAGAUGUGGAACAUGGUCUGUACCUUGUUGAAAUCCAAAUGACUGGAUACGUCAUCAGUAAAAAUCACAUGACAAAAGGGACCCA
rnacentral:lncRNA from 1 species